UCGAAAAGUUUUUUUUUUUUUUAACAAAAGAACAGCAAAAAGAAAAAGAAAAAGAAAAAAA
rnacentral:tRNA from 1 species